rnacentral:pre_miRNA from 1 species
AGGAGGAACAGUCCCAGUGGCUGCGGCAGCUCUGGAAACCUGGAUUCAGCCCCCGCAGUAACUCCGGAGCUCUCCAUCUGCAGGGCCUGGAGGCUCCGGGGCGGG